UUCCUUUUUCACGUGUUUCCUCCACUCUUAGUAAAACCAAAUGAAUUUCUCAAGGAAAAAGAAAUUGGCCCUAUCUUCUUCCAGUUAGUCAUGAUGCAGUGAAAAAAUUAAACGCCCAAAGAGAAUCACUAUCUGUGGAUCCAUUCUAUUUUCUCCUCUUCUGAUUUCCUUGUUGCCAUCUUUUCAACCGUGUGGUAAAUGGGACGGUGUGAUGUGUGAGCAAGCGAUGAUUUCAAGGAAAAGUUCAUCAUAUCUCAACUAUUAACCUUCUGAUUUAUUCUUUGAGUGUUGGCUGAGAGUGGGAUCAAAACAUUCCUCAAGCACUUUGGAAGCUCUUUUGAACACGAACUUCAGUAACAUUAAUGGCUCCUUCGUCUGGGGUAUAGGUUAUUUCUUAUGGAUGAAAAUUGUCAAUGGCAUGAGCAAAGUCGGAAAAAGGCAGGGGUACUUGAAAGAGAGAUAUGAUUGUGGCAUGUUCGCAAUCAAAUACAUGCAACAUUGGAACGGGGUCACACUAGCACAUUCAAUCGCGGAGGACAAGAUGCAUCUAUAUCGAUUGAGGCUGGUCAUUACCUUGGUUACGAAUACGGCAAACAAUGCUAGAGAGAAGGUCAUGAAGGCAUGUCGAAUGUGAUGUAUGAGGGUUGUGACAUUUUAGUUAGUUGCAAUUUAUGAAAUACUACGAGUCGCCUAUAAAAGACAAUGUCAAAGAGAAGGGAAAGACGUGUUUGUAUAUGAUCAUGGUUUGCUUUAUUUGUUUGUUAAUAGUGUCUGCCAUUGUGCACCAAUUUAUGCUAACACAAUAAUGCACAUUGGGACAACAGUGGAAACAUUUGUCAGGGAUUAUUUGGUGGGAUUUGUUGAACUUCUAAUCAUCCCUUUGUCUUUUAUUCCAUGAUGCUCCAUUAAGUUUAUUGUUCAUGCUUAUUGUCUUCUGUUUUACAGGAAAGGUUGAGCAGAGCCAUAAAUUGGCCGAUGUUAAGUGCAUCAGCAAGGCUAAGUGUGAUUAAUAGAGGCCACCUACAGUAGGGGAGGUCACUGAUGGCACCUUACUUGCCUGAGAGUGGGGUUGGUGGUGGCGGCAGUCCAUAAUCAGAAGUACAAUGUGUUUGAUAUUGGCUUUAUAACUACGGACGACUUCACAAAUGUAGACAUAUUGGAAGCAACUUACCCAGCUGUUGCAAAGAGGGUUGGAGAUCUGGUGCAGUUACUACCUUGGGUAGGGGUGGGAGUGAUUUGACAGCCACAUCCAUUGGUAGAGCCUUAGGCUUGCAAGAGAUUCAGACUUUUUAUCCACUCUUACUAAGCACAGAGAGAUGACUCUCUAUCAAUGACACUGCCUCCCAGAAGUACCAUCAAAUAAUUGUGGAUUGGAGAGAGUUCAGAGCAGCUCUCUUUGCUCGGGAACAGGCAGAAAAGGCAUAUCGUGAGGCUUACAGCGAAGGUGGAACACCCCAAGAGCGUAGUGCUUCCUGUAGGCCUGAAAUGGGCCCAUCCUAUUUGAGGACCCGAGACUGGCUAUGUCCUUAUAGCCACAAUGAAGCUUGAUGGGGUACGCUCCUUUGAAAGAACCGUUGUUCUCCUUCUCA